rnacentral:rRNA from 1 species
CUGAUGAACGCUAGCGGGAGGCUUAAUACAUGCAAGUCGAACGGUAACAGACCGAACCUAGUUUGGUGCUGACGAGUGGCGCACGGGUGAGUAACGCGUACACAAUCUGCCCUUAAGCGGGGGAUAGCCCUGGGAAACUGGGAAUAAUACCCCAUAGUAUUGCGAAACUGCAUGGUUUUGUAAUUAAAGUUGAGGCGCUUAAGGAUGAGUGUGCGUCCUAUUAGGUAGUUGGUAGGGUAACGGCCUACCAAGCCGACGAUAGGUAGGGGGCGUGAGAGCGUGGACCCCCACACGGGUACUGAGACACGGACCCGACUCCUACGGGAGGCAGCAGUAAGGAAUAUUGGACAAUGGAGGCAACUCUGAUCCAGCCAUCCCGCGUGCAGGAAGACUGCCCUAUGGGUUGUAAACUGCUUUUAUAUAGGAAGAAGCCCCUUGAUUUAUUGAGGGUUGACGGUACUAUAAGAAUAAGCACCGGCUAACUCCGUGCCAGCAGCCGCGGUAAU